rnacentral:rRNA from 1 species
UGGGGAAUAUUGCACAAUGGGGGGAAACCCUGAUGCAGCGACGCCGCGUGAAGGAAGAAGUAUCUCGGUAUGUAAACUUCUAUCAGCAGGGAAGAGAUUGACGGUACCUGACUAAGAAGCCCCGGCUAACUACGUGCCAGCAGCCGCGGUAAUACGUAGGGGGCAAGCGUUAUCCGGAUUUACUGGGUGUAAAGGGAGCGUAGACGGAUGGACAAGUCUGAUGUGAAAGGCUGGGGCUCAACCCCGGGACUGCAUUGGAAACUGCCCGUCUUGAGUGCCGGAGAGGUAAGCGGAAUUCCUAGUGUAGCGGUGAAAUGCGUAGAUAUUAGGAGGAACACCAGUGGCGAAGGCGGCUUACUGGACGGUAACUGACGUUGAGGCUCGAAAGCGUGGGGAGCAAACAGGAUUAGAUACCCUGGUAGU